rnacentral:misc_RNA from 1 species
GAUGAAGAACGUAGCGAAAUGCGAUAAGUAAUGUGAAUUGCAGAAUUCAGUGAAUCAUCGAGUCUUUGAACGCACAUUGCGCCCCCUGGUAUUCCAGGGGGCAUGCCUGUCCGAGCGUCAUUGCUGCCCUCAAGCACGGCUUGUGUGUUGGGCCCCCGUCCCCGGUUUCCCCCGGGGACGGGCCCGAAAGGCAGCGGCGGCACCGCGUCCGGUCCUCGAGCGUAUGGGGCUUUGUCACCCGCUCUGUAGGCCCGGCCGGCGCCAGCCGACACCCAACUUUAUUUCUAAGGUUGACCUCGGAUCAGGUAGGGAUACCCGCUGAACUUAAGCAUAUCAAUAAGCGGAGGA